GACGAACCGUACGAACGUUAUUCGGAAUUACUGGGCUUAAAGGGUGCGUAGGCGGCGCAGUAAGUUGGGUGUGAAAUCCCUCGGCUUAACCGAGGAAUUGCGCCCAAAACUACUGUGCUCGAGGGAGAUAGAGGUGAGCGGAACUUAGGGUGGAGCGGUGAAAUGCGUUGAUAUCCUAAGGAACACCGGUGGCGAAAGCGGCUCACUGGAUCUCUUCUGACGCUGAGGCACGAAAGCUAGGGUAGCAAACGG
rnacentral:rRNA from 1 species